rnacentral:misc_RNA from 1 species
CCGAGUUAUCAACUCCCAAACCCCCUGUGAACAUACCUGAACGUUGCUUCGGCGGGACCGCCCCGGCGCCCAUCAGCGGCCCGGAACCAGGCGCCCGCCGGAGGACCCAAACUCUUGCUUCUUCUGUAGUGGCAUUAUCUGAGUCUCACAAACAAAAAUGAAUCA